rnacentral:lncRNA from 1 species
AUGGUACAAUCCAAGACAUCCCAUGCCCAUUUUGACCCCUACAGGGGACUAUUUUCAUUAGUUUCAGGUUUCUCCUUCCUGUUUUUUUUUCUAAUAAACAUGUGUGUCUGUGAGAGACAGAGAGACAGAGUCAGAGAGAGAGUGUGUGUCCUUUGCAUUCUUUUUUUUUUUUUUUUUUUUUUUUUUUUUUUUUUUUUUUUUUUUUUUUUUUUUUUUUUUUUUUUUUUUUUUUUUUUUUUUUUUUUUUUUUUUUUUUUUUUUUUUUUUUUUUUUUUUUUUUUUUUUUUUUUUUUUUUUUUUUUUUUUUUUUUUUUUUUUUUUUUUUUUUUUUUUUUUUUUUUUUUUUUUUUUUUUUUUUUUUUUUUUUUUUUUUUUUUUUUUUUUUUUUUUUUUUUUUUUUUUUUUUUUUUUUUUUUUUUUUUUUUUUUUUUUUUUUUUUUUUUUUUUUUUUUUUUUUUUUUUUUUUUUUUUUUUUUUUUUUUUUUUUUUUUUUUUUUUUUUUUUUUUUUUUUUUUUUUUUUUUUUUUUUUUUUUUUUUUUUUUUUUUUUUUUUUUUUUUUUUUUUUUUUUUUUUUUUUUUUUUUUUUUUUUUUUUUUUUUUUUUUUUUUUUUUUUUUUUUUUUUUUUUUUUUUUACACAAUAUAUCCCGGAAAUCAUUUCAUUUUUCAUUAUGGAUUCUUUUUUUUUUUUUUUUUUUUUUUUUUUUUUUUUUUUUUUUUUUUUUUUUUUUUUUUUUUUUUUUUUUUUUUUUUUUUUUUUUUUUUUUUUUUUUUUUUUUUUUUUUUUUUUUUUUUUUUUUUUUUUUUUUUUUUUUUUUUUUUUUUUUUUUUUUUUUUUUUUUUUUUUUUUUUUUUUUUUUUUUUUUUUUUUUUUUUUUUUUUUUUUUUUUUUUUUUUACACAAUAUAUCCCGGAAAUCAUUUCAUUUUUCAUUAUGGAUUCUUUUUUUUUUUUUUUUUUUUUUUUUUUUUUUUUUUUUUUUUUUUUUUUUUUUUUUUUUUUUUUUUUUUUUUUUUUUUUUUUUUUUUUUUUUUUUUUUUUUUUUUUUUUUUUUUUUUUUUUUUUUUUUUUUUUUUUUUUUUUUUUUUUUUUUUUUUUUUUUUUUUUUUUUUUUUUUUUUUUUUUUUUUUUUUUUUUUUUUUUUUUUUUUUUUUUUUUUUUUUUUUUUUUUUUUUUUUUUUUUUUUUUUUUUUUUUUUUUUUUUUUUUUUUUUUUUUUUUUUUUUUUUUUUUUUUUUUUUUUUUUUUUUUUUUUUUUUUUUUUUUUUUUUUUUUUUUUUUUUUUUUUUUUUUUUUUUUUUUUUUUUUUUUUUUUUUUUUUUUUUUUUUUUUUUUUUUUUUUUUUUUUUUUUUUUUUUUUUUUUUUUUUUUUUUUUUUUUUUUUUUUUUUUUUUUUUUUUUUUUUUUUUUUUUUUUUUUUUUUUUUUUUUUUUUUUUUUUUUUUUUUUUUUUUUUUUUUUUUUUUUUUUUUUUUUUUUUUUUUUUUUUUUUUUUUUUUUUUUUUUUUUUUUUUUUUUUUUUUUUUUU